GCACUUGAAAUCUUGUCUCAGGCCUCGGAUUCGACUCAGGUGAGCAAAACUUCAGGUGCAU
rnacentral:pre_miRNA from 1 species